AUGCUUGCUCCUCUUCCAUAUUUUCUGCAGGACAUUUACCAAAUUCACCAUCGGUUUCAGUGUUGGGGAAGGUUUCUUCAGGCUGCUCAGUUUCCAUUUUCUUUUUCUUUUCUUUUUUUUUUUUGUUACAGGGGAUCGAACUCCGGUCCUUGUGCUUGUGCAGCAGGCAGCGAAACCACUGAGCUAAAUCCCCGGCCCCAUUUUCUUGCAUUAAAUGGAUACACCAAUCUACAUGCCGGAAACCAGUGUGAUGAGGCAGAACGUCGAGGUCGGUGCACCAGACCAGCCGAGAGCGGCACUGAGUGUUCACAGGCAGAUGAAUGUGGCAGGCAGAAGCUGAGGAACCUCUGCCCGCCAGCAGAUCCACAGCCUUGCUGAGCUGUGCUCCCCAAGAGAAGGGCGGGGCUGUGGCAGAACACGCGUGGGGCAGG
rnacentral:lncRNA from 1 species